GCGGCAGGCCUAACACAUGCAAGUCGAGCGGUAACAGAAAGUAGCUUGCUACUUUGCUGACGAGCGGCGGACGGGUGAGUAAUGCUUGGGAACAUGCCUUGAGGUGGGGGACAACAGUUGGAAACGACUGCUAAUACCGCAUAACGUCUACGGACCAAAGGGGGCUUCGGCUCUCGCCUUUAGAUUGGCCCAAGUGGGAUUAGCUAGUUGGUGAGGUAAUGGCUCACCAAGGCGACGAUCCCUAGCUGGUUUGAGAGGAUGAUCAGCCACACUGGGACUGAGACACGGCCCAGACUCCUACGGGAGGCAGCAGUGGGGAAUAUUGCACAAUGGGCGCAAGCCUGAUGCAGCCAUGCCGCGUGUGUGAAGAAGGCCUUCGGGUUGUAAAGCACUUUCAGUCAGGAGGAAAGGUUAGUAGUUAAUACCUGCUAGCUGUGACGUUACUGACAGAAGAAGCACCGGCUAACUCCGUGCCAGCAGCCGCGGUAAUACGGAGGGUGCGAGCGUUAAUCGGAAUUACUGGGCGUAAAGCGUACGCAGGCGGUUUGUUAAGCGAGAUGUGAAAGCCCCGGGCUCAACCUGGGAACUGCAUUUCGAACUGGCAAACUAGAGUGUGAUAGAGGGUGGUAGAAUUUCAGGUGUAGCGGUGAAAUGCGUAGAGAUCUGAAGGAAUACCGAUGGCGAAGGCAGCCACCUGGGUCAACACUGACGCUCAUGUACGAAAGCGUGGGGAGCAAACGGGAUUAGAUACCCCGGUAGUCCACGCCGUAAACGAUGUCUACUAGAAGCUCGGGUCCUCGGACUUGUUUUUCAAAGCUAACGCAUUAAGUAGAC
rnacentral:rRNA from 1 species